AGGACGAACGCUGGCGGCGUGCCUCAUACAUGCAAGUGGAGCGACGAACCAGGAUUUAUCCUGGGGCAAAGCCGCGAACGGGUGAGUAACACGUGGGUUACCUGCCCCGAUGAUUGGGACAACCCGAGGAAACUCGGGCUAAUACCAAAUGUGUUCUUGGUCGUGAUGACCAAGAAGAAAGGAAGCCUCGGCCUCCGCAUCGGGAUGGGCCCGCGGCCCAUUAGCUAGUUGGUGGGGUAAUGGCCUACCAAGGCGACGAUGGGUAGCUGGUCUGAGAGGACGAUCAGCCACACUGGGACUGAGACACGGCCCAGACUCCUACGGGAGGCAGCAGUGGGGAAUCUUGCGCAAUGGGCGGAAGCCUGACGCAGCGACGCCGCGUGGGGGAUGAAGGCCUUCGGGUUGUAAACCCCUUUCAGCAGGGACGAAGCGAAAGUGACGGUACCUGCAGAAGAAGCGCCGGCUAACUACGUGCCAGCAGCCGC
rnacentral:rRNA from 1 species